rnacentral:rRNA from 1 species
UACGGGGGGAGCAAGCGUUGUUCGGAUUUACUGGGCGUAAAGGGCGCGUAGGCGGUGUGUCAAGUCAGGCGUGAAAGCCCCGGGCUCAACCUGGGAAUUGCGAUGGAGACUGCAAGGCUUGAAUCUGGCAGAGGGGGGUAGAAUUCCACGUGUAGCAGUGAAAUGCGUAGAGAUGUGGAGGAACACCGAUGGCGAAGGCAGCCCCCUGGGUCAAGAUUGACGCUCAUGCACGAAAGCGUGGGGAGCAAACAGG